CCUAGACUGCAUGAAAAGAAGCGUGAGCAGGCUUUGAGCAAGCUGGGUCUAGAGGGAGGUGUCCCCUCAGCAGGAGGGCUCCCUGGGAUCAGCCUUGGGAGCAGUGGGCAUCCUGCAGACGGCACGGCUCUGGGAAGUCCCGCGCGUCCCUGCGCGCAGCGCGGCGCCGGCGGGGCUCCGCCGAACGGGGAAGGGGCGGCGCGACCCCGCGCCCUCCCAGGCACCCCCGCUGCGCCGCUCUCCCACCGCCCCCCGGGCCUCCGAGGGGCGAGCCGACCCGCCUCCGUCCCGCGGGGGCCGGCCGUCAGGGAGCCCGAGCCCGCGCCGCUGAGGCGGACGGAACCGCCUCUCUUCGCCCCGCCGUUGGCUCCGACCGGGAGCCUGUGUGAGGCCGCCGCUCCCGCAGUGGAGCCGCGGCGGGCGGGCGGCACCGGGCAUCGCUAUGGAGAGGAACCCCAUCCCGGUGCUGACGGUGCAGACGACGCCCUACGAGGACCAGCGGCCGACGGGCGGCGCGGGGGGCUGCGGCGCCCCACGGGGCUCUUGGAGAGCCAGCGCAACUACCUGCCCAGCUUCGUGCAGAGCCUGCUCUCCUCCGUCGAUCUCCGCGACCGCCAGGGCUGCACCAUGGUGGUGGGCAGCGACGGCCGCUACUUGAGCAAGACGGCCAUCGAGAUCGUCGUCCAGAUGGCCGCGGCCAACGGGCACUUGACAGAGGAGAAGCCAGAAGGCCUUGUCAACGAAGCAUCUCGGCAGGUUGCAUUAGCUGAUCUUGUAAUCGUCAAUAAAACGGAUUUGGUUUCAAGGGAAGAAUUGAAUAAAGUCAGAACAACUGUCAGGUCAAUAAAUGGACUUGUCGAAAUUUUGGAGACACAAAGGUCGAGAGUUGAUCUUUCCAAUGUGCUGGACCUGCAUGCUUUUGACAGUCUAUCUGGAAUCAGCUUGCAGAAAAAAUUGGAGAGUAUGAAGACAACAGAUGCACAUCUCGACAAGGACAUAGUGACAGUAACACUUGAAGUCCUAGGAAAUAUUAAGGAAGAAAACCUUAAUCUCUUUAUACAGAAUCUUCUGUGGGAAAAGAAUGUGAAAGAUAGGACUGGAUGUACCAUGGAUGUCAUAAGACUGAAGGGACUCGUAUCUAUUCAAGGCAAAUCUCAUCAAGAGAUAGUCCAAGGUGUCCAUGAGCUGUAUGAUCUGGAAGAGACUGCAAUAGAAUGGAAAGAAGAUGAAAAAAGAACCAAUAGGUUCAUUCCCAGGGCAGGUUGCAUAGCUGAUCUUGUAAUCGUCAAUAAAACGGAUUUGGUUUCAAGGGAAGAAUUGAAUAAAGUCAGACCAACUGUCAGAUCGUGUAGUGAAAAAGAGCAGUGAGAAAGCAGUGAAAAAGAGUCUGCCCCUUUCUGGAGAUGUUUCCAGUGCAUUUCUGUGCUUCCACAGUCUUAUCAGCUUGCCUAAGUCAAUAAAUGGACUUGUCGAAAUUUUGGAGACACAAAGGUCGAGGUAUUAGAUUAACCUGUAUUCCAACAAGUACCAAAUCCUGUCCCACUGACAUUAUUUUUACAAAGCUUUCAUUAUGAGCUUUGUAAAAAGCUCAGCAGCGAGAGUGGGUGGCCUCCUGCCCGAGGAGUGGGCAGCACUCUUCAGGGAGAGACGUGACCUCCUCUUCCCAGUGCAGCCCUGGAUACAGGACAUCUUCUCCCAGAUCCAGGAGCUGCCCUGGUGGCAGAUCUGUGGGCUGGAGAGUGUGAUCCUGGCUCUUCUGUGCCGAGUGGGGCUGAACAGGGAUGCCCUGGUGUACCACGCACAGCCCACCCUGGGACCUAUCACGGCAGCAUUCAUGGACGCGCUCAUCGAAGUCAUCGUGAGCCGGUGCGGCCAGGAGGCCCGGAGGCUGCUGGGCCUCGAAGAUGCCAGCGCUGCCCAGGAGCACGAGGACGGGCCCGAAGAGCCCAGUGCUGCCCAGGAGCACGAGGAUGGCCCCCCAGCCCCGUCUGGUCCCUCCACAUCUCCUCAGGGGACCGUUGCCCCCAGCACCUCUCCCUCCGGCAGCUCCGCGGGUCCCGACGCGGAGGAGCUCCCCGGCACGUCCAGCGGGGCCCUCGGCAGAGGUCCCGGCGAGCCGGGUUCCGAGGCAGCCGGUCCCUCUGAGCAGGGCCGCAGCCGCGGCUCCUCCUCUCGCGGCCGGGGCAGGAAUCGCUCGGCUGGGGGAUCCCGGCGCCCCACCAAGAGGAGGGCCGGCAGCGCCCAGCGCGCUCCUCUGCCCUGCAAGAGGCGGCGCCACCGGCGCCUCUAAAUGGGGCUUACACGGCUUAACAAUAAAAGAUAAAAACAC